UUUGAAGGUACUGUUUUCUCCUUGUUCAACCCGCCCUUCAGCCACACAAAUAUUUCAUCACCCUAAACCCGCCCGCCCUACGGAUACAACUGAGAGGACUGUAGGUUAUGAGUCAACCCGCGCAUCGCUAACAGACAUACACACACUUCGUGGACUGAACCAGACCCUUCUCCAUUACCAUAUCCCACCUCUCUAGAGGCCUGCUGCUGUCCCAAUGACACUAAAUAACAGUAUGAAAAUAAGAAGACAUUAGCCAAGCCUGGCACAGGGACCAGCACUGCUGUUUAUUCUGGGGCUAACUUACCUAGAAACACCCAGACCACUCCUACUCAAUCCGAACAAAACCCUGGCAGCUCUCUUUCUCUCUCUCUCUCUCUCUCUAGUGUACUUCCUCUUUUUCGUUGAGUCAGUGCUCCUCUUUCCUCUCUGUGAUUACCCUCUAAUCUCCCCACUGACAUGUUCAAAUGACUUUCUCCCCUUUCCUCCCCUUUCCUCCCCUUUUCUCCCCUUUUCUCCCCUUUCCUCCCCUUUUCUCCCCUUUCUUCUCCCUGGAUGUUUCCUUUGGCGUCCCCACUCUCAAAGGCAGAACACAUGAACACAGGGAGGAGGCAUUACAUGGGAGGACUACUGCACUUCAGCUCUUUCUGCCUUGUUCUUCUUCGUUUGUUUACGAUGCUGAGAGGGAACGUUUCUGGAGAGGUGCAGCUGUUAUGUAGUUCUGUUGACCUCUGACCUCUAUUAAGGUGAAUAGAUGGAGGGAGAGAUGGCGGAGAGGAGAGGUUCGGUGGUCUGUCUUUAUUCAUUUGGAUUUGAGGGCCAGCCUGGGAGUGUCCUAUAGAUAAUACCCUUCACAGUCAGAGGACGAUUAGUCGGCUGUUUCUACACUUCUCCAACUCUCACUCCUCCAUCCUUCCAUCCCUCAGCCGUACACUGGAUAAUUGUUAUGAGUAUUCAUCCAUCAGGCAGUCAGUGAAACUGCUGACAGUGAGAGAAGAGUUUCACUUUAAUGUUCUAACUUUAACAGGAGGAGCUGUGAAUGAGAUGGUUAAAGAGAUUCUCCGGUACUUUUGUAUCCUUUCUUUAAGUGAUGCCAGCCUCUCUAAGAUGAGUCAGGGGAAACUGGUUAAUCCUAAUCAUGUAGCACAUCUUUAAGUGAUGCCAGUCUCUCUAAGAUGAGUCAGGGGAAACUGGUUAAUCCUAAUCAUGUAGCACAUCUUUAAGUGAUGCCAGCCUCUCUAAAAUGAGUCAGGGGAAACUGGUUAAUCCUAAUCAUGUAGCACAUCUUUAAGUGAUGCCAGCCUCUCUAACAUGAGUCAGGGGAAACUGGUUAAUCCUAAUCAUGUAGCACAUCUUUAAGUGAUGGCAGUCUCUCUAAGAUGAGUCAGGGGAAACUGGUUAAACCUAAUCAUGUAGCACAUCUUUAAGUGAUGCCAGUCUCUCUAAGAUGAGUCAGGGGAAACUGGUUAAUCCUAAUCAUGUAGCACAUCUUUAAGUGAUGCCAGUCUCUCUAAGAUGAGUCAGGGGAAACUGGUGACCUUGUAGCGGUAUUUAUUAGAGAGGGUAAAGAAAGAUUUUGUUCGGGCGCCAGGCAGGUAUUAACCAUGCCGAAAGGAAAAGAGUAGAAUAGAGAGAGUACCACUACCAGACACACACACAUCAGCAGAAGAGACUGCCUAGAGUGUAGCCUGUUUACCAGAUAGCCAGUGGAGAGAAAAGAGAAUACACACCAUAUAAAACCCACAUCACAACACAGGGGUAACCCCAACAAGAAUACCUCAUACAAUAAUACUAAUACUAAUAAUGGCAGAGCAAUUCAACAGCAACUUCAUACAAGAACGAACCCAGUCAUCAACAUAGGAUUUGCAAUAAUCUGUAUUAUUUUCUAGUGGAUGAGUGCAGAGGGUAUGAAUGUGGGGGGUGUUCAUCGACACAACAAAGGCCUUAAAAAUGUCCACAG
ensembl:lncRNA